AACGUAGGUCACAAGCGUUGUCCGGAUUUACUGGGUGUAAAGGGAGCGUAGACGGCACGGCAAGCCAGAUGUGAAAGCCCGGGGCUCAACCCCGGGACUGCAUUUGGAACUGCUGAGCUAGAGUGUCGGAGAGGCAAGUGGAAUUCCUAGUGUAGCGGUGAAAUGCGUAGAUAUGUGGAAGAACACCGAUGGCGAAGGCAGCCUCCUGGGACAUAACUGACGCUCAGGCACGAAAGCGUGGGGAGCAAACAGG
rnacentral:rRNA from 1 species